rnacentral:rRNA from 1 species
GACAGAGGGGGCAAGCGUUGCUCGGAAUCACUGGGCGUAAAGGGCGCGUAGGCGGGAUGGCAAGUCAGUCGUGAAAUCUCUCGGCUCAACCGAGAAACGUCGGCUGAUACUGCCGUUCUUGAGGGAUGCAGAGGAGACUGGAAUUCCCGGUGUAGCGGUGAAAUGCGUAGAUAUCAGGAGGAACACCUGCGGUGUAGACGGCUUUCUGGACCACGACUGACGCUGAGGCGCGAAAGCCAGGGGAGCGAACGGG